rnacentral:rRNA from 1 species
GAUGAACGCUGGCGGCGUGCCUAAUACAUGCAAGUCGAGCGAACAGACCCGGAGCUUGCUCCUCUGACGUUAGCCGCGCACGGGUGAGUAACACGUGUAUCACCUACCUAUAAUACUGGUAUAACUUCGGGACACCGGAGCUAAUACCGUAUAAUAUAUUGAACCGCGUGGUUCAAUAGUGAAAGACGGUUUUGCUGUCACUUCUAGAUGGAUCCGCGCCGCAUGAGCUAGUUGGUAAGGUAACGGCCUACCACGGCGACGAGGCGUAGCCGACCUGAUAGAGGGAUCGCCGACAUUGGAGGUGAGACGCGGACCAGGCGCCUACGGGAGGCAGCAGUAGGGAAUCGGCGGCAAUGGGCGAAAGCCUUACGGAGCAAGGCCGCGUGAGUGAUGAAGGUCUUCGGAGCGUAAAACUCUGUUAUGAGGGAAGAACAAAUGUGUAAGGAACUAUGGACGGCUUGACGGUACCUAAUCAGAAAGCCACGGCUAACUACGUG